rnacentral:lncRNA from 7 species
AGUUGUGCCCAAUACAUCUUGCACAGAAGAGGGAUUCUCAUCAGUUGUGAGCAGUGCAGUUAUCUUCUGGAUUUGGACAUGAAUCAGAAUGUAAUUGCUUUAAAUUGGUUUGAAGAAUGGUAAGAUCCCUUUCUGCACCCAAAAAAACAGGUAAAUAUUACAAAUUAGUCCACAACUGUGAAAGAAAGCUGAGUAGGAUAUUCUGCACAAGGUGGACUGACAAUAAGUACUGAACUAAGAAGACUUCAGGGGAGAGAAGAAAGACAAGAUGUAUACUCAACAGCAGGAAGAUAUGGCUGAUGCAAAGGCUGCUGAAGAACGUGAGCUGUCAGGAGCAGCUGUCAGGGGCCUAAUCUGCAUGUCCAGCUCAACACUACUGUGUGAGAUAAACACAGGACUGGUGCCCCUUUACACAAAUACACUCAAUGUAAAUAAACUUUGCUGUUGCUCUCUAGUGUACACUGUAUCUUGGUGGCACUUGAAGGCUUUAUUUAUUACCUGCAAAACAAACUCAGUUGUUCAGGGCAAAUUCAGUUUGUUAUAUGCCUGUACUGUCAUAUGAGAGAAGGAAUUCUUGUUUAUGUAGUAGAGGAUUACAAUGGCCUGCAUUCAGUUUCCAGUACUAUCUGACAAGCCCUGAGCAAUGUUCCUUUUUGCCUCUGACACUAUGAACUGUUCAAGGAGUACGUAAUCUUCUCAACUUAGAGAUCACAGAAUUGAUAACUUGUAAGAAAGAUAUGGAAUGCCUUGUGCAUGCUGUUAGUUCUGUAUCUAUCUAAAUAGAUUUCCUUAGUAUUAAAAUGAAUCCUU